ensembl:snRNA U6 U6 spliceosomal RNA
GUGUUCAUUUUGGUGGCCCAUAUACUAAAAUUAGAAUGAUGCAUAGAAGAUUAGCAUGGCCGCUGAGCAAGAAUGACAUGCAAAUUUGUGAGGCAUUCCAUAUUUAA